AUUGAACGCUGGCGGCAGGCUUAACACAUGCAAGUCGAGCGAGCGGAGGACGUGUGUGAAAUGUCUGGGACAUUGCUUGUUGGAGGGGGAUAACUAAUGGAACCGGUAGCUAAUCCCGCAUACCAUCAGAUGUGCCCAGAUGGGAUUAGUUAUGAGUUGGGGGAAUGGCGCACAUAGGCGACGAUCCCUAGAUGGUCUGAGAGGAUGACCGGCCCAACGGGAACUUGGACAGGGUCCAGACUCCUACGGGAGGCAGCAGUGGGGAAUAUUGCACAAUGGGCGCAAGCCUGAUGAAGCCAUGCCGGGGGUUUGAAGAAGGCCUUCGGGUUGUAAAGCACUUUCAGCGAGGAGGCGUUAAUCGCAGAAGAAGCAACGGCUAACUCCGUGCCAGCAGCCGCGGUAAUUC
rnacentral:rRNA from 1 species